AUUGAACGCUGGCGGAAUGCUUUACACAUGCAAGUCGAACGGCAGCACGGGGCAACCUGGUGGCGAGUGGCGAACGGGUGAGUAAUAUAUCGGAACGUGCCCAAUCGUGGGGGAUAACGUAGCGAAAGUUACGCUAAUACCGCAUACGAUCUACGGAUGAAAGCGGGGGAUCGCAAGACCUCGCGCGAAUGGAGCGGCCGAUAUCAGAUUAGGUAGUUGGUGGGGUAAAGGCUCACCAAGCCAACGAUCUGUAGCUGGUCUGAGAGGACGACCAGCCACACUGGAACUGAGACACGGUCCAGACUCCUACGGGAGGCAGCAGUGGGGAAUUUUGGACAAUGGGCGCAAGCCUGAUCCAGCCAUUCCGCGUGCAGGAUGAAGGCCUUCGGUUGUAACCGCUUUAGUCCGGAAAAGGGGUAGCGAGGAGUAAUACCCUCGUGCUUUGAUGGUACUGGAAGAAUAAGACACCGGCUAACUACGUGCCAGCAGCCGCGGUAAAGAGU
rnacentral:rRNA from 1 species